GACGGAGGAUGCAAGCGUUAUCCGGAAUUAUUGGGCGUAAAGCGUCCGCAGGUGGACAUACAAGUCUGCUGUCAAAGUGCAGAGCUUAACUCUGUAAAGGCGGUGGAAACUGUAGGUCUUGAGUAUGGUAGGGGUAGAGGGAAUUCCCGGUGUAGCGGUGAAAUGCGUAGAUAUCGGGAAGAACACCAGUGGCGAAAGCGCUCUACUGGGCCAUAACUGACACUGAGGGACGAAAGCUAGGGGAGCGAACAGG
rnacentral:rRNA from 1 species